ACCAUACAAAUAACCUUUUCCUUAAACACAGACAAUAUAUUCGUGAUUGAGUGAUGGAUAGGUAAAGAUACCUUGUCUUAUGUCCGUUUCACUGGACACUAUUGAUUCUUUGAAAUUAAUAUCCCAUGUGCAGUGCCGAACUGUGAAGACACAGAUGAAGACAGUGUUAUUUCCAAAGGAUUAAAAUACUUAUUCUUGGAGUUUAUGUUUUAAUAUUGUGAAUUUCAACAGGAUAAAGUAAACAAAGAAUGUGUUUUUUCAUGUGUUACAUAAAAAAUAUGGAUAAAGUUUUUCAAUAGAGAAGACGUGAAGAAAUGCUCACAAAUAUCAUGUUUUUAAGAAGGUGAAAUGAAGAAGAAGGUAAAAAUCUCAUCUGAUGUUAUAAAGACGAAGCAGAGAUCCACAGACACCACAGAGUGAAAUGAUGGCGAUGGCAGUUCCUCCGGCAAUAGCUAUGUAGGCAGCUACAUGAUACAGUUCAUCACCUAGGACAGCAGAUAACUGGUGUGCUCCAUAAUCGGAGGCUAUGAUAUAUAUUCCCAUAGACAAACUAGAUACACCAGCGAUCUAAAUGGAUUUCAAAUUAUUAUGGAAUAAAAAUUAUUCUUUAAACAAA